UCUUGUUGGUUCUCCUAGAACUAUCUCAACUCUCAAGUAUAUCUUUAUUGGUAAUAUAGAUAAGGUCUUACUCUCAAAAUUGGGAGCUUUUACUUUUUUAUCUCUUCAAAAUCCCUAGCUGAUCUAAUAAUGGGGAAUGGAAAAGGACCAAAAAUCACAGUGCACUCUUACAAUAUUGAUUCUUGAAAUAAAUAUUCUGAGAAUACGCCAGCUAAGAAAUGCUUAAUAGGAGCUUCUGCUUCCUAACACCGUAUUUAUGGCCGAAUAAGCUUAUGUACUCUCGAAGUUUUUCCCACUUCUUGUCCAUUUUCCUCAGAGCCUCUGUCGUUCGUGUUGCAUGUUGGUUUUUGUCGCUGUCGCAAUGGCGAACCUAGGUUCAUAGGAUGUGGGGGUUUCGUGAUUUCUUGCAUUUUAACUAUGCCAGUUCUAGAUUACAAAAUGUUAGUUCUGAUUCAUUGGUUUUGGGUUAUACCUAUUGAGGAGUCAUGGUGGAUUUGAAGCAAUCCAUGGAUUCUAAGGCCUUUGCUUCUCUGCUUAGAUUUUCAAUAGCACUGUGGAUUUAGAGGGUUUCUUUGUCCUUAAAUCUUUUUCUCUUUUUUUUACAAGAACAUUCUAUUGUUUCAUACUAAAAGAUCAGCAGUUGAAUUAAAAGAAUGUAUUUGUUUUCUAUCUGCUGAUUUUCUUAAAACAAAAAUAGAAAACAAGAAACAAAAACAAUUUUGAGUAGGCCUUCUAGCUCUAACCAUGUGCUGAUUCCUAUCAAGUUCGAAUAAGGAUUCUGUGAAUUUUGCAAGGAAAGAAGAGCAUCUGAAUUAAACAGGCAAUAGAAAGUGUAAAUCUUGUUGAAGCUGCAGUUAAGGUUCUGGUAGUCCAGGAAAAUAGUGGCACAUUCACAGGCACAGGUGUGUGGAAAUUUCCUACUGGUAUUGUCGAUGAGGUGAGUCGUGCCCAUUGUUCAAGUUUUCAGCUAAGGAAUAUAUGUACAGAUUAAAGCAAAAGUAUUGAUUGGUAUACCUGUGAUUUUGUGAUUCUGUUUCUUUUUCAGGAAGACAGAGAACCUUUUUGGCCACCAUUUUUUAGGUCUUGUGAUCGAAAUAGUGUACUUCCAUAUAUGAACAAUCUGUGGCAAGAAAUUGUAAAAACAGUUUUUUGAUUAGUGCAAGCUGAAGUGGAAAGAUAAACUAUUUAUAAUGGACUAUUCAGUUAGGUUUCCAAACUUCUGCAACUUGAAUCCAUAUGGGUUCAAGCCAUGAGUGCUAAAAGUGCAAGGAUUGCCCUUAUUUGUUAGUCCAUUCACUUGCUCAAACAAUAUGAACUUGUAAUAAGUUCAGAAGCCACUGACAUCGAACAGUGUGCAUCAGAGACAAUUCCUAAUAUUUGUUGUGCAUAUAACACUCGCUUUUAAUUUUUCAUAUGUUAGAUUCGUUUCUAAGACUUCUCUGUGAUCUGUCAUCACUAAAUAGGCACGCUGUUAUGACGAGAAAAUAUCAAUGUCCCAAAACCCCAUUGCUUAAAGAAGCAUUCUUAUCAGUAUUCCCAGAAUGCCUUAUCGAGGCAAACGUGCUAUGAUAUGAUGCAUCCUCUGAAAAAGAAAUUCUUUCUUGCCUCCCUGAUUUUGUCUUGGACUGCAUUGAUAAAAUAGACACGAAGAUAGAACACUGUAUCUGUUCGCAGUAAGUGUUCUUAUCCUUGAAUGCUUACCAAAAAUGAGUACUCCGCUCAACCUUUUUUACUGUUUCAGUUGCGUUCAGAAGUUUAGGGUCAUAAUUGGUUGUUCAAGUGAGAUGGGUGUGUAUGCUUUCGUGCUUGCAUUCAUGCAAGUGUGUGAUAAACACAUGUAUAGUUGUUUCCAAAUUGCCAUGUUUACUUACUUGAGCAAAAAAGCAUAGGCUAAUGGACAGAGUUUCAAAAAUUAUUGCACUAACAGAUGUAUUUCCUUGUAAUUUGUACCUUAAAUGAUGCAUUUUGAGAAUUUAUGAGUUGGAACUUAUGAAUGAUUAGCUUUGAGUAGAAAAAUAUUUUGUGCUACUUGCAAGUUGUCUUAUCAGGAGUUCAGAUAUCUUGUGAAUAUGAUACAAGUUUUACUUUUCGAUUUAUGAUUUCUUGAUUCUUAAUGUGUAAUAAGUGGCACUUCUUGCAGCAUGUGGUGUUGGGGCUUGAAAGUUCUGUCUGCAAUGGGAGCUGGCGUGUGAACUGACCCUACAAAGAUCUGUGUGGCUGAUUGGAGAGAGUCAACAAAUGACCCACUAUCUCCUGCUAUCUUGAGCCGUAACUGCUGUUAACUUUGCUACAAUUAACUACUUCCUCCAUCUGUAAAUAGUUUGUGCAAUACAUAAUGUAGAUGUAAAUUACUUAAACUCCAUGCUCCCUUGGUUAAGCAAUAUACUGUACCUUCAUUACUAUUCUA